rnacentral:rRNA from 1 species
GAUGAACGCUGGCGGCGUGCCUAAUACAUGCAAGUCGAGCGAACAGACGAGGAGCUUGCUCCUCUGACGUUAGCGGCGGACGGGUGAGUAACACGUGGAUAACCUACCUAUAAGACUGGGAUAACUUCGGGAAACCGGAGCUAAUACCGGAUAAUAUAUUGAACCGCAUGGUUCAAUAGUGAAAGACGGUUUUGCUGUCACUUAUAGAUGGAUCCGCGCCGCAUUAGCUAGUUGGUAAGGUAACGGCUUACCAAGGCAACGAUGCGUAGCCGACCUGAGAGGGUGAUCGGCCAAAAUGGGAAUGAGAAAAGGUCCAGAAUCCUACGGGAAGCAGCAGUAGGGAAACUUCCGCAAUGGGCGAAAGCCUGAAGGAGCAAAGCCGCGUGAGGGAUGAAGGUCUUCGGAUCGGAAAACUCUGUUAAUAGGGAAGAACAAAUGUGUAAAUAACUAUGCACGUCUUGACGGUAACUAAUCAGAAAGCCACGGCUAACUACGUG